rnacentral:lncRNA from 1 species
AGUCUUUCCAAGUUGACAUGGCCUUCCUGGAGGAAUUACCACUUAGGGUAGAGGCACCCCUUCCCCCAUCAAUGCCACUGCCCCACAUUGGAGGAGGGGUUGUUUAUGUUCACCAUGUGCCUGCUUCCAAUGCCAAAUCCAGCCUCAGAAAGCUUUCUGGAAGUGACGCCAACUUCAGGGGCAAGGCCCUGGUUCUGGGGUCAGCACCAUUCCGUGGUUCCUGAAG